GUCGUCGUGGCCCGAGUGGUUAAGGCGACAGACUUGAAAUCUGUUGGGCUCUGCCCGCACAGGUUCGAAUCCUGUCGGCGACG
rnacentral:tRNA from 1 species